GAUGAACGCUGGCGGCGUGCUUAACACAUGCAAGUCGAACGGAAAGGCCCAAGCUUGCUUGGGUACUCGAGUGGCGAACGGGUGAGUAACACGUGGGUGAUCUGCCCUGCACUUCGGGAUAAGCCUGGGAAACUGGGUCUAAUACCGGAUAGGACGAUGGUUUGGAUGCCAUUGUGGAAAGUUUUUUCGGUGUGGGAUGAGCUCGCGGCCUAUCAGCUUGUUGGUGGGGUAAUGGCCUACCAAGGCGUCGACGGGUAGCCGGCCUGAGAGGGUGUACGGCCACAUUGGGACUGAGAUACGGCCCAGACUCCUACGGGAGGCAGCAAUGGGGAAUAUUGCACAAUGGGCGCAAGCCUGAUGCAGAGACGCCGCGUGGGGGAUGACGGCCUUCGGGUUGUAAACUCCUUUCGCUAGGGACGAAGCGUUUUUGUGACGGUACCUGGAGAAGAAGCACCGGCUAACUACGUG
rnacentral:rRNA from 1 species